GUGUAAUGCGAUGAUGAUAAAGUUAAUCCCAGCUCAUUAUGAGGCCUUUCUUACAAAGAUAAGGUCUGGGAAUAGACUCCAUUUAACAUCUAUCUGAGCUUCAU